CCUCUGAAGGAUGAUGAAGUCAUUGCCUAUCUCCUUGCUGGUCUCGGACCAGAUUAUGACUCCUUUGUCACAUCGAUGACUACCAAAAGUGAGUCUCUUACACUUGAUGAUGUAUUCUCUCAUCUCAUGUCUUUUGAAG